rnacentral:misc_RNA from 1 species
AACGCACAUUGCGCCCUUUGGUAUUCCUUAGGGCAUGCCUGUUCGAGCGUCGUCUAAAAAUUCAAGCUAUGCUUGGUGUUGGGCGCUUGUCCCGCCUCUGGUGAGGACUCGCCUUGAAUCAAUUGGCGGCCGUGUUUUGAGGCUAUUGAUACGCAGUACAUUUGUUGCGAUCUAGCAUCCAAGCCGGUGUCCAAGUAAGGUAACACCCAAGAAUUGACCUCGGAUCAGGUAGGGAUACCCGCUGAACUUAA